rnacentral:rRNA from 1 species
UACGUAGGAUGCAAGCGUUGUCCGGAAUUAUUGGGCGUAAAGAGCGCGCAGGCGGUAUGACAAGUCAGAUGUGAAAGAGGCCGGCUUAACCGGCAAGGGUCAUUUGAAACUGUCAGACUAGAGUGCAGCAGAGGAUAGUGGAAUUCCCGGUGUAGUGGUGAAAUGCGUAGAUAUCAGGAAGAACACCCGUGGCUAAGGCGGCUCUCUAGUACGGUACUGACGCUGAGACGCGAAAGCGUGGGGAGCGAACAGG